rnacentral:rRNA from 1 species
GAUGAACGCUGGCGGCGUGCCUAAUACAUGCAAGUCGAGCGAACGGACGAGAAGCUUGCUUCUCUGAUGUUAGCGGCGGACGGGUGAGUAACACGUGGAUAACCUACCUAUAAGACUGGGAUAACUUCGGGAAACCGGAGCUAAUACCAGAUAAUAUUUUGAACCGCAUGGUUCAAAAGUGAAAGACGGUCUUGCUGUCACUUAUAGAUGGAUCCGCGCUGCAUUAGCUAGUUGAUAAGGUAACGGCUUACCAAGGCAACGAUGCAUAGCCGACCUGAGAGGGUGAUCGGCCACACUGGAACUGAGACACGGUCCAGACUCCUACGGGAGGCAGCAGUAGGGAAUCUUCCGCAAUGGGCGAAAGCCUGACGGAGCAACGCCGCGUGAGUGAUGAAGGUCUUCGGAUCGUAAAACUCUGUUAUUAGGGAAGAACAUAUGUGUAAGUAACUGUGCACAUCUUGACGGUACCUAAUCAGAAAGCCACGGCUAACUACGUG